rnacentral:precursor_RNA from 1 species
CAGUAAACUGGAUGGAUCCGGAUCUGAUCCAGUUAGUAAAUUAUAACAAACCGGAUGGAUCCGGAUCUGAUCCGGUUAGUAA